CUGGAACCCCUGUCAGGACUGAAAAGGCGCAAGUCACAGGGAGGGCGGGGGAAGAGCUCGGUGAGUCCCCUUUGGGGAAGAGUCUGUUCACAUUUUCAAACUCUCCAAGAGACCUGAGGGAAAGUGUUCCAACCAUAAGUGGCAGACACAUGAGACACGCAGCGGGUGACACACCUUCACGGGGAGCUGUGAAGAGAGAUUUUCCUCACGGGGUGACAGGCACAGGCUCAGGGUCGCCUUGGAGUCCCAGGGCCCCACGCAUGCGCUGGUUUCCUCGUCUUUGCCAGUGCAGGGUUCUCUGGAAAAGUGUUAUAUCUGAGACCAAGCCUGAAGGGUGGCCUUGACGUCAUGAUGACAAGCGGAGCUGUGUCCGUGCUGCCCCGGGUGCAGUCCUGGUAGACGGGAGGUCGCGGACACGUCUGCUUCUGCACAGCACCAGGGUGGCUGUGUCCUUGCUGCAGCCACAGCCCUGUGUGCGUCCUUGUCACCCACAGCCGACGACUCCUGCCGUCACACACCCAGAGCUGCCCGGGCCAGAUAAGCACGUGCCCUCCAGGGACCAGGACCUCCUGGGCGCUGCUUUAUCCUGUCCCGAGGCCAAGUUCUCAGGGAUGGAACGUUGGAGAAUGGAUCCCUCCACCUGCAGACUCCGGGAUGAAAGAGGAACAGGCUGGGGGUCUCUGGCAGAGGGACCAGGCCCCCUGGAGACCUUUUGCAUCCCAGGAACCUGAGCACCGCUCUGUGAAGGGCACUGCAUUAAAGAGGCAAGUUGAUGGGA